AGAACGAACGCUGGCGGCAGGCCUCAAACAUGCAAGUCUAGGGGGUGUAGCAAUACAUCACCGGCGGACGGGUGCGUAACGCGUGGGAAUGUACCUAUUGGUUCGGAACAACUGAGGGAAACUUCAGCUAAUACCGGAUGAGCCCGAAAGGGGAAAGAUUUCUCGCCAAUAGAUCAGCCCGCGUCCGAUUAGCUAGUUGGUGGGGUUAAAGCCUACCAAGGCGACGAUCGGUAGCUGUUCUGAGAGGAAGAUCAGCCACACUGGGACUGAGACACGGCCCAGACUCCUACGGGAGGCAGCAGUUGGGAAUCUUGGACAAUGGGGGAAACCCUGAUCCAGCCAUGCCGCGUGAGUGAUGAAGGCCUUCGGGUUGUAAACUCUUUCGACGGGGACGAUAAUGACGGUACCGUAGAAGAAGCUCCGGCUAACUUCGUGCCAGCAGCCGC
rnacentral:rRNA from 1 species